UAUAUACGUAUACAUACAUAUAUAUAUGUAUAUAUAUAUAUAUACAUACAUACAUAUAUUGUUAUUUUGCAUCUGAAUGUAGGGUUCAAAAAACAACAUUUUAUAUAUACAUAUAUAUACAUAUACAUAUACAUAUAUAUAUAUAUAUAUAUCACACGCGCGCGCGUAAUUAGAUAGCGGUAAUAUAAUAAAGCGUGUGUUUAUACAAAUGGUGUGUCAACACUUGCCAAAAUUGCUAUUAUGCUAUUUUGUUCAUUAAAGUAUUUUAUAUCCAGAGCAUGCUGUAUACUACAAAAGUAUUGUUUGCACUGGAGUCCCAUAUAUACAUACCAUAAAGUUAUAGAAAAUCUUCAUGCCAUCACUCUAGCUUAAAAAUCACAAUUCUUUGUACCCAAUUUAACUACAUGCAAUUCACAAUUUUUAAUGUUUCACAAUUCUUUUACCUUUAAUAUAAAAAUUGUUAUAAUUGUAGAAUAAUGUACAAUAUCUACUUAAUACUAUUUGUUACAUAUAUAAUGCAAAAGUGAAAUGACUUCACAUAUUUCAUUAGCAAUAUUUCUUUUUUUUUUCCUUUUCUUUUAACAUAUAUUCGUAGUUUAAUUUUCAUGCAAAAUUUAUAUUGUAUAAAAUUUAAAGUAUAUGUAUUGAAAUUAAUAUUGAAAAUUAUAUACCCAUAAGCUUUGGUUCGAAUUUUAUUACUAAUUGUAAGACUGAAACAUUCGAAUUACUUCUUGUUCAAUGCGUACCUGUGUGUGCUUAGGCGCAAACGCUAAUAAGAGAAUAUUAAUGGUUCACUGUUAUUAACCAUAUAAGUAGAAACGGUAUUUUAAAUGUUUAAAAAAUUCAAAACUAAUAAUUAUAAACGCAUAUAAUAUUGCUCAAAACACAUUUACAGUUUAUUUCUGAGGAAAGAACGUGAUUAAUGUAGCUUAAACAAAAAUUCAUAAAUAUGAUCAAUUUGAGAUCAUUAGUCAAAACCUAAUAGUUGAUAUUUUUUUUAUAGUAGCUAAAAUUACUUCAAAGUCACUGUAUUGCUUUUUUAUAAAUUAAUAUUUACAGUUUCAUGUAAUCGAAAUUUAUAUUUUAAAUGCAAAUGGUAUUGUAUUAAUGGCUGUGCAAAGAUUAUUUCCAUUUACUUUUCAAUGUAUAAUGUGAUCCUCAUAAAAUUAAUGUUGAUAGAAACUUAUGUUUUCAAGUAAUGACUGUACAUCUAGAACACUAAAUAUGGAUAUAGCAAUUCACAUUAGCUAGUUUUAGAAGGUAAUGAAACAUGAUAAUUAUCAUAAUCCUCCUACAUUUUAAGAUCUUAUAUUCCACAUUCACACAGAAUGAGUACUCCAAUCAAACAUUUUACAAUCCUCUUACUAUAAAUUAAUUACAUUAAAAAAAAA